rnacentral:rRNA from 1 species
UACGUAGGGUGCAAGCGUUAAUCGGAAUUACUGGGCGUAAAGCGUGCGCAGGCGGUUCGGAAAGAGAGGUGUGAAAUCCCAGGGCUUAACCUUGGAACUGCAUUGGAUACUGGCGGGCUAGAGUACGGUAGAGGGUGGCGGAAUUCCUGGUGUAGCAGUGAAAUGCGUAGAUAUCAGGAGGAACAUCCGUGGCGAAGGCGGCCACCUGGACCAGUACUGACACUGAGGCACGAAAGCGUGGGGAGCGAACAGG